AAAAUUCAACCAUCACCGAUUGAGAUCUCGCCGGAGAAGACGGAGAGGAAAAAAAUCACCACCAUCCUGGAGCCUACAUAAACCCCCCUGAUUGUCCAAGUCCAACACCACAGCUCCCCAUCCUCUGCUUCCACCACCUCCCCGAGCGCGAGAUCCAGAUCUUGGCAGCAAUGGCGGGGACGGUGACUGUGCCCGGCUCAUCGGUGCCCUCGACGCCGCUGCUCAAGGACGAGCUGGACAUCGUGAUCCCGACCAUCCGCAACCUCGACUUCCUCGAGAUGUGGCGCCCCUUCUUCCAGCCCUACCACCUCAUCAUCGUGCAGGACGGCGACCCCAGCAAGGUCAUCAACGUCCCCGAGGGCUUCGACUACGAGCUCUACAACCGCAACGACAUCAACCGCAUCCUCGGCCCCAAGGCCUCCUGCAUCUCCUUCAAGGACUCCGCAUGCCGCUGCUUCGGCUACAUGGUCUCCAAGAAGAAGUACGUCUUCACCAUCGACGACGACUGCUUCGUCGCCAAGGACCCAUCUGGCAAGGACAUCAACGCUCUUCAGCAGCACAUCGAGAAUCUGCUCAGCCCGUCCACCCCGUUCUUCUUCAACACCCUGUACGACCCCUACCGCGAAGGCGCCGACUUCGUCCGUGGAUACCCCUUCAGCCUCAGGGAGGGCGCCCCCACCGCCGUGUCCCACGGCCUGUGGCUCAACAUCCCCGACUAUGAUGCACCCACCCAGAUGGUCAAGCCCCGCGAGAGGAACAGCAGGUAUGUUGAUGCUGUCCUGACUAUCCCCAAGGGAACGCUGUUCCCCAUGUGUGGCAUGAACCUUGCCUUUGACCGUCAGCUCAUCGGCCCUGCCAUGUACUUUGGCCUCAUGGGCGAUGGCCAGCCGAUCGGCCGCUACGACGACAUGUGGGCUGGAUGGUGUGUCAAGGUCAUCUGCGACCACUUGAGCCUGGGAGUCAAGACUGGCCUGCCUUACCUGUGGCACAGCAAGGCCAGCAACCCCUUCGUCAACCUCAAGAAGGAGUACAAGGGCAUCUUCUGGCAGGAGGACAUCAUCCCGUUCUUCCAGAGCGCCACCCUCUCCAAGGAAUGUGACACAGUCCAGAAGUGCUACAUCUCGCUCUCCGAGCAGGUCAGGGAGAAGCUUGGCAAGAUUGACCCCUACUUCGUCAAGCUUGCUGAUGCCAUGGUCACCUGGAUUGAGGCCUGGGAUGAGCUCAACCCAUCUGCUGCUGCUGAUGCUGAGAACGGGAAAGCAGUGGCCAAGUAGGCCGGUUGGCUGAUCUUCUGAAGAAGUCAAGAGAAUACUGGAGCGGCCAGGUGUAUGGUUGGGGCCUCGGCCCUCAUAGAUAUAUACUAUUAGCUCUUUUUGACAAGGAGAGAUCACUGAUGAAGAAGCUUUUAUAAUUCCCUGUUGUUAUGCUGGUGGUUCUUUUGUAGCUGGAAAAAGGAUUUGUUAUCAUUUACAUUAUCCAAGACAAAUAAUAAUAGUUCUGCGUAAUUUGUUGGUUGUUAUAGUGAGUUCUUCCUGUUGAAUAGCAAAUCACCCGUGUGUUCUUUGUCUGUUUA